UAUAUAUACACACAGACCCACACCUACCUACACACUCCAACACCUACCUCCUAGAUAGCACACAGUAAAUGCCCACAAACGUUUUUAAGUGAAUACCUGAAAAGCUGAAUUUACGAUCAAACGUCAACCCUUUGCUGCCUACAUGUGCCAAACUGAUAGCACCAUGCACUUAAAAAUGAAAACAUAUCUGGAAGCUUGGGAUGGGGAAGCGAGGACCAAGGGCCUAUCAUGUGGCGGGCCCCUUACAACCUAUUGUUCGUAUGUGGAAACUGAGGCUCAGAGAGAUAAGUCACAUAACUAGCGUUAAGAUAAAUUUCUAGGCCCAAGUUGGAUCUGCUCCUGACCAGGGCGUACCAUCAACAAAUCAAAAUUCAGAUCACUUUCAUGUCCCUGUAAGUGAUCCUCUUGACCAGAAAUACGUGAGUUGGCUAGUCCCCCAAAGCAAAGCCAACUCAGGCUCUGUACUUACUUCCUUGUUCCUUCUCAUUCCAAUCAAGGUUGCCUAAGUAGCCCCAGCCAAUCAGAUUAUUUUCCGUUUUUCUCUUCCCUGUUCUUUAUUAUUGAUUUUAUAAAUGCUUCCUGCCUUCUCUGUUUUGCCGUUCUUGAAUGGGGACUAUCGGUUCCAUGAAGUGUUAAAUAGCUUAUUCAUAUCACUUAAAUUCUGUUCUCUCUCUCUCUCUCUUUCUUUUGAUUUUAGACAGAGAAUCACCCUCAGUGUGGAGCCCCACAUGGGGCCGCAUCCCACGACCAUGAGAUCAGGACCUGAGCCAAAAUCAAGAGUCGGAUGUUUAACUGACCGAGGCACCCAGGCUCUUAACCUAGGGAGCCUCGGACACCCACAGACAGCACACGGAAAGCGUUUAUGAGGUGCGGAUCCAUAUUUUUCAUCAGAUUCUCAAGGUGGGCCAUGGCCUCCAGAAGGCUAAGGUGUGGGCCUGGGGGGAGCCUGCAGUGGCUGGGCUGGUGCAACGGUCAUGAAGGAGCAGCCAGAGCAGAACUGAGGGAGGAUGCGUGUUGCCCACUCACCCAGUUUCAACACCGCUCCGAACCGAUGUCCCAACCCCACGGGGGUUACCAGUGUCCUGUUCCCAGAGACAUCGGGUGACAAAUGAUCUGGUCCGAGUCCCAUACGCUCCUUGUGGUAUUUUUAGACACAUUCUGUUCACUGAGAGAAACUUCAAAUACUGCUGGGUAUCAUGGGCCCACGACAUGACUGUUCCUUGGGUGGGGUGGAAGGGUGAGAGAGACCCCAGGGACAGGGGCUGGGCUCCCCCGGGCACUCAAGCACAUGAUGAGGGAGCGGCAUUGUGACCUCAGAGGAGAGGGAAGCCAGUGAGCUCAGGUUCUAGGAAUGGACUAGAAACAACCCCUGAUGAAUCACAUACUCAGUCCAAUUUUCCUGUAGACUUCUAGCCACAGGCCUUCCUGAGAAUAAGUAGAAUGGAGAUUCGAGACACUUUUUAUUUAUGUCACAAGGAUGAGCAGAGUACUCACUGCUACCACCGGGCACGGUGAGGGGGAGUCUCACGCAGACGUGGAGUGUGAAGACGGCACCUCCUUCCUGCGUGUGCAUUACACGAACAAGUAAUCACAAUGAAUGUGACAAGUUCUGUGCCAGAACCAUCAGACAGAGCUGUGGGACCACCUCCGGAGGAAAGAGCAGUUACACCUUGGAGAAGGAGAAGCAGUGCUAUUGGUGGUGACAUACCGGUUCAAUGGAAUAAACAUGUAUCGAGUCCCAGGCAUUGUCUUGGGAUGAGGGGAGGAGAUGUCUAGACACACAACGUCUGCUGUCAGGGAGCUCAAAGCCAGGCCCACAGACCUAGAAGCACGGGAAUGUCAACCUAUCACAAACAGGCAGUGCAACUUAAAUGGCAGGCUAGCACGACUCUGGGGAUAACAAGAUUUUAAUCUCUCUGGCAUCAGGAUGUACAGUAGACUUUUUGCAAUAUGGCCACUGUCGUUCCUCUCCUUGAAUCCAUGUCCUUGGGUAAUCCUUUCCCGCAUGGAUACUUGACUUAGUCAUGUGACUUGCUUCAGCCAAUGGAAUAGCGGCAAACACAAAGCAAGCCAAAGUUUGAAAAGCAAUUGUACACUGGGGCUUAUCCCCUUCGCAGAGCUUGGAGCCCUGAGGCCACCAUUUUAGGACGGAUGAACUGCUUACUGGAGUGGACAUGUAGAAGAGAACCAAGGGACCCCAGCAAAUAUCCUGACAUCCAAGUGAGUGAGGCCAUUCCUGAGCCAUCCAGCCCAUAUAUCCACCAGCUGACUGGCUGCAAGAGAGAGCUCAGGAGAGACCAGCAGGGGAACUGCCUGGUUGAACCAGCCCAAGUGCCAAGCCACAAAAUCAUGAGCUAAUAAAUGAUGGUUUUUUUAAGCCGCUAAAUUUUACAGUGAUUUGCUAUGCAGUAAAAGCUAAGCAGUACACAGUACAUCUUCCAGCUGAUGAUGUCAUAAUUAUAAUGGGAAGCAUUUUUUUUUCUUUCUCAGGGAUACAUAAAAUAAUGGUGCAUCUUACAAUUGAUUGUGACUUAGAUCAGAUGCAAUACAGUAUUAUAUGCACUUGGCAGGUAAGAAAGCUAGGGAUCAGAAGGUUUCUUGCCCGAGGUCUGGAACCAGUAAGUUGUGGAAUUUGAAUCCAUGCUGUCCGACUCCAGGCCUUUGCUCUUACCCUGCAAGCACUUCCAUCCACCUGGAUGGGGGAGUGUCUGGAGAGCUGGUUGGUAGGAAAGCAGAGACAGGUUAUGAAGGGCAUCUUAGAAGUUCUUGUAAAGAGUUUGAUUUUGACAACGAAGAGCUAGUUGAAUUGGAAGAUUGGAGUACUUAUAAUUUAUUUGACAUUGACUGAAUACAAUAUUCAUACCACCUCAAGAAACAGAAAGUCGUGUUGUGGGGCUGCAGGGUAGAGUCUGGAAGGCCUGGAGUUGUCCAACAACUCACCCAGUGGGAAGAGGGGUGUACCCAUGGAAGUUACUGCCUACACAGCUGUGGACUAACUCUCCCUUGUAAAGUUAAUGAAGUCAGUGGAUCAAGUGCACUUGAACAAUAAAAGGGGUGGGGAGAAGGGAGGACUAUGGCUUAAUUAGGGCCACUGGAGACCAUGUGAUAAUCAGUAGUUACAGAGCAACAUCUGUUUGGUGGAAAUAUCUCAGAUUUCCCAGCAAAUCUGAGAUUAAUGGCAUACAGUGCCUGCUCUCUAGGUACUUACAUCUCCUGGGGGAAAUGGAUAUACGCCUAAUGUAGAUGUAACCUCAAAAUAGACUGAGUGACAAGCACCCAGCCACUGAUGCCAACCCCUUCUUUAACCAUCCACUUACCAAGGUCUGGAAUUUAAAGCCCAUUGGCCACUAAUAACUGAUGUGGCUACACUUCAGAUGACCAUGCUCAAAAGCAGUAGAUAUAGAAGAUCAAUAAUUGUCACAACUCUGCAGUUGGCAAUCACAAGUGGGAGAUUUUGAGACAAGGUCAUUGUCAACCUGUCCCUCAGCAUGUCCCAAAAAAGACUUUGACUCUCUUUAGCUUUUCUGGAAGGUUGACCAAUCAAUUUUAGAGAGCUAUAGAUUUGGAUCUAGCCAGAAUUAGCCACAGAAGUUUAAUCGAGCCAAAAUGGGGCCAAGAAUAAGAAGAGAGACUCAAACUUCUAUUAGGAAUUUUGUUCCACUGCAACAUCCCAUUUGGAUCCUGUUCGGUUGGCUACAGAAGUGUUUGGGAAAAAAGAAGGUGGAAAAGAGGCUUAAGACUGGAUUUCUACCGGGGCACCUGGGUGGCUCAGUCGGUUGAGUGUCCGACUUCAGCUCAGGUCACCAUCUUGCUGUCUGUGAGUUCAAGCCCUGCGUCGGGCUCUGUGCUGACAGCUGAGAGCCUGGAGCCUU